rnacentral:misc_RNA from 1 species
UUAAGUUCAGCGGGUAGUCUCACCCGAUUUGAGGUCAAGAUUCGUGCGCCGAGCAAGCUCGAACGAUGUCUCUCACGAGACGGUUGGAAGCAGGUUCCCAGUGAACAGAGCAAAUCCCAAGACGUAGAAACAUCUUAUCACGCCUGGGGAUUGGCAAAGGGGACCCCACUAAUGCAUUUAAGAGGAGCCGACUUUUUGCA